rnacentral:lncRNA from 1 species
AGACACUCUCAGGCUCCCUAGGAAGAGGAGGAUGGAGACUGGAGAGAUGGAGGGAUGGAAGGAUGGAGGCUGGAGAGAUGGAGACUGGAGGGAUGGAGGAUGAAGGGAUGGAGGCUGGAGGGAUGGAGGGAUGGAGGCUGGAGGAAUGGAGGCUGGAGAGAUGGAAGGAUGGAGGCUGGAGGGAUGGAGACUAGAGGGAUGGAGGCUGAAAAGAUGGAGGGAUGGGAGGGAUGGACGCUGUAAGGAUAGGGGCUGGAGGGUGGAGGCUGGAGGGAUAGAAGGAUGGCGGGAUGGGAGGAAUGGAGGCUGGAGGGAUGAAAGGAUGGAGGCUGGAAGGAUAGAGGCUGGAGAGAUGGAAAGAUGGAGGCUGGAGCAAUACAAGGAUGGAGGCUGGAGGGAUGGAGGCUGGAGGGAUAAAGGAGGAAAACAAAGAGCGGGAGGGGUCUGGGCACUAGGCUAGGGCCUCAGCUGCUGGGCCUGUACCAUGGCAGGGAAUCCAUGAAUCCUGGAGGCAUUUUUGGCUGGUUCCAAAGUCAGACAAAGUGUGAACCUCUCUCUGCUACAACCUUGGCCAGAAAGUCUGGUGCAGAGACGAUGAGACACUGGGGACCCCCACUUGUUCACAUUUGUUCCGUUGCUCACUUGUUCAAAAAACACGCGUGAAGCCCCUGCUUGGAGCCAGGCACUGGGCUGGGUUCAGGGUUUCCAGAUGAAUCAGGCCUGCUCCCCGGGGGACUCCCAGUCGUUCAGAAGAGAGACAGACAUUGAAACAAAUAAUUAAAGACACGAAUGAAAGCCUCUGAGAUAAAAAUACACAAGAUCGGUGAACACAGAGAGAGUCACUGAGACAAGCUUAGGGUUGACCCUAAGCUUGAACCAGAGGGAAAACUCAGACCUCCACCGAGUAGGAUGGGCAGUGGGAGGCUGGGGUGCAAUGAUCCUGAAGGAUGCUGAGGGACCCACCACUGCUCCCGUGACCUCCACCUGACGUUCCUCAGGGAAGUGACACCCCCUCCAAAAUAUGCAACGAGAGAGGCCCUGGGGAGACGCAGGCUUGGGUUUCAGAUGUGGGCGAUUCUCACACGGGCUGCAGAUUCUAGGCCUUGGUCUGCAGCCCGCUCACUCCACGCCGCUGAGACUCAGUUUUCUCAUCUGCCAAGUGAGAGUUCUGGAUUUGGAGAUGAUUAUUACAGCUAAUAUUUGCUGAACAUUUACUGUGUGCCAGGCAUCGCGCCAGACACUUUGCAUCGGUACCUCGUUCAGCCUUCACAUCCGCCCAGUGAGAUGGAAAAACUGAGCCCAGAGUGGGGCCAGGACAUACCCAACAUCAUAGCGCAGAUGAAGACACAGCCAGGACCAGAACUCAAAUCUCCUACACCAGUGGGCUUCCCCCCUGAGCCUGAACAUGGAGUCACCACUGGCUCAGUGAUUACUGAGUGGAAAGGGAUUCGAGACGGCAGAGCACUGUGCAGAGAUAGCUGGGCAUGAGGGGAGAGAAUGCAAGCCUCAGCUGGGAAUCGGGACUCUUGGAUUCUCAUCUUCUCAGAUUGACUUAAUUCACCACUUCAGAGAGGUACUCCUUGGGAUCAUAAAUGAACUACCUGCAACUCACAUCCUAGUGUGAGUUGCAGGGUCUGCUUUCAGAUCAGCCCAAACUCAGGACUGUCUGUCUCCAGAGCCAACACUCAACUAUCACGUUAUGCAUCAUCCCACCUCACCCCCAGGGACCUCCCUCAUAAUGGAAGCAGCAGCAAAGACUUCAUAAUGAACAGCACCAGAUUCUAGAGGCACCUGCAUUCCUUGGCUUGUGGCCUCUUCCUCCAUCUCAAAGUGCAUCGCUCCAAUUUCUGCUUCUGUCAUCACAUCGCCUUUUCCUCCAGCUCCGACUCCUCCUGCAUCCAUCUGAAAAGGAUAAUCCAGGAUAUUCUCCCUAUCUCAAGAUCCUUCAUCACAUCUGCAAAGUCUCAGGCUGCUACCAAAGGGGCCACGCAGGACGUCCUCUGGGGAAUGCUGGCUCCCACACCACCCGCCUCGGCUCCUGGGCCAAGGUUUUGCCUUGAUCUGUCCAUCCCACUGCACAUGGCUUCAAGGAGGCAUUCAUGGGAAUCCCUGCUCAGGUCAGGCAGCAUCGUGUCAAGGUCAUGGCCCCUUGAAGAUUCUUUGAGGAAGUGGCUGUUGAGCUCCCAACCCCAGGGCUGGAGCAGGAGGAUCAGACACCCCGGCCUCAGCCCCAGAGCAUGAAAGCCCUCCCCACUCACCCAGCUGCUCUGCAGACCCACACUUGCACACAACUCCAUGUGCCACUGACCAGCUCUGACCUCGUCCUGGGCAAGGCUGGCGGGGCCUAGACCCAAACCCACAACAGUGUGUGGCUCCCAGGGAGGCAGCGUUUCCUGGGCACCAGCUCUUUAGAGAAUGCCUUCAGAAGUCCCCAUCCAGCCUCUCCCCUCAUGAAAUCCUGUCCUUGAAUCAUCCAGCCUAGCCCCCUGAGUAGCUGUGCAUUUCCGAGACCCCGAAUCCAUAAUAUUCAUAUGAAUGAGGUGGAGGGCAGGGAGAAUCGCUGCCAUUUAUUCAACCCUUAAUAAAUGCUGGGGGCUGCACAAAGCACUUUAAAUAAAUACAGCCUCUCAUUUUAAUCCUAAACAGGCCUGUGAGGGAGGUGCCAUGAUUACCCUUGUUUUAUAGAUGAUGAAAGCUAGGGCUCAGAAGAUGAAGUCCUUUACCAAAGGUCACACAGCUAGAAAGCAGAGAGGCCAGGAGUAGCACCCACUUGCUACAAGAGACUGGCCCCUCCAGACACAGUCCUUCCCGACAGCCUCUUUGAGGUUUCCCUGGACCUAGCCCAUCGGGACACUGUCCUCACAGCAAAGUAGCAGCCCCAGGCUGGGCACACGGCAGGAACCCUGUGCUGUGGCCCCCCGACCCAGUCCUGUGAACCCUUCCUUACUCCUCUGGCUCUGCUGGGACCAUGCUCUCCACCCCAGAGCUGGGAUAGCUGGGCCCUCUCCUCGCCCUCUCAUCCCAGCGUCCACCCUCCUGUUCAGAGCUGGACCGUUAGCCCAUGGGCCCCCUAGGAUUCUCUUUGCUUCCAGUUCCCCAGGUGACCAGCAGAUCUGUUAUUCCUCUCAUUUCACUUAUUCAUUUAUUCAGUGGAGUUUAGGGGCAGUCAGGAGGCCCUGGGGACUUGUGAGUGGCUGGUAUCAGCCAAGGGCCAGGUCCAGCCUCUGUGGGUAGACACGAAUGACUUAUUAGGGCUCUGAAAAGGGGCUGUGGAUGUGUCUGCCAUGGUCAGUCCCUGGGGCGAGAGCCAGCGUCCAAGGCCAUGCUUGCCUGCCCUGGUCACCAGAAAGGGCUGGGAGAGGAGGAAGAACUGGGAGCAGGUUAGGACUUCAGAGCUCCCCUAGCUACUCACCAACCUCAGGGACAGGCAGGGGCCAGCCCCUGGAGAAGCCCCCCGUACCUGCUCCCCACCCCACCAUACACACGCAGUCUCCCUACAGUGUCCCCCUCCCUUCCUGGCCCCUGAGUCUCCGAGGCAGCAGGAGGAGCAGCAGAAGAUCCCAGGACGUGAAGUUCAAAGACAGACAGUCACCCCAGCCACCUGUCUCCCAUCACCAUCGCCAUCACCAGGGCCUCUGAGCCCCACACCCCUCCUCACUGCCCAUGUGUCCCCAUUUCUCAGGGUCCCUAUGUUCUGAUGGUGUCACAAGCCCUAGGAGUUAAAAAGUGACAGUUCCCUUCACCUUCUUCUCCUCUCUACAAUCCCCUGCCCCUCCUAGCAGGUGAGCCCCGCUAGCAGGUUGGUGUCUAUUCUACAGACCCUUUUAUGUGCAUUAAAAAAACUCCACAUGGAUAUCACAGAGAUCGACAUAUGUAGGAUUUACUUUACAGAAAUAGCGCCAAGCCAUAUACAUUUUUCUCUGAUGUGCCUUUUUUUAGUAGUGUGGAAAUCUUUCCAUAUUUAUGUAUACACAUCUACCAUAAUUCUUAGCUAUUGCAGAUUUUAUACUGAAAAGAAAACAGAAAGGCUAAGGCUAAAUACCCAUACUCCCAUAGCUUUUUUGUCAAGUACAUGAACGAAGAAGUAAAAGCCUCCAAACAUAGCAUAUGAAUCUUUCGUAUCCUUUUCCCAAGAUUACGGAGGCGGAGCUGUGUGGAUGUGCACUGGUUCAAACAUAGUCAUGCAUUUUCUUACAGAGUGGCAUCAUGCCAGUCGUGCUGCUUUAUUAUUAAUUUUUCUGCUUAGCAGUCUGUCUUGGAGAUUUUUCCAGAUUGGUGCAUUUUCAUGUCACUAGAUUCUGUUUAUCCACUAUGAUUCCAUUGUCCGGAUGAACCACUGUUCCCCUCUUAAUGGACAUUUCAGUUAGUUCCAGGCCUUUGCUGAAAUGAACACCCUUCCUUAUAUAUCUCUGCACUCCUCAUCCCAGGUCUGAAGUCUGAGGAACUGGGGACAAUUGUGUGGUGUCGUGAUGGUGAGCAUGUAAACCACAUGUCUGCCCUGUGAAAGGAAGAUAAAUCUGGGGACCCCAAAAUCACCCUCCACCCCACGCACACUCACAACACAGCCUCCUCCAGGCAGCAGAACUGUUAAGCCUGUCAGAGACUCAGGCAGCUGCCAGGCACUAAAAAUAAACAGAUGAGCUCCUUUGUCUGCAUUUAGCAAGCAGGUUGCAGAAUUACAUCUGCCCAGGGUGACCCCACACCCUGGUUUGGGGGUAAGAAGAGAAGCAGCUUCCAGGCCAUCUUCCCAGCACCCCCUUGCCUUGGCUGUGCCAUCCACCCCACCCUCCACUGCUUUCCUCCUUCCUCCAGCAGAGGGAUUACCUGGGGCAGGAAAGGGGGCAGAGGACCCCUAUAUGGCCCUGGCAGGCCUCAGAGGCCCAUCUGGGAGAAGAGGACUUUGCAGGUUCAUUUCCACAAAAUGGGGAGCUCCCAGCACGACCUCUGGGAUCUGGGCAGCUGCUCAGCUGCUUUUCUGUUCAAUUGCAUCAAACUAAUGUGAACCUGAAAUGCUCUAAAAUUGAAGCAGGAAAAAUUGGAUCUGCUAUUGAUCCUCAUCACUUGGGUGACUCCUGUGACCCAUAUUAGCCACAACCCAGCCAAAAGCAACUGCCCUGAAAACAAAGAGUGUGUGUGGUUAUUUGAUUCUGUUCAGUUGUAGAUGGGAGGAGCCUGGGGUCCCCCAACUCAGCUGCCCUUGUCCCAGAUGAUGCAAAAAAAAAAAAAAAAAGUGAAGAUAAAGACAGAGGAAAGGGUGGGAACCAGGAUGGGGACAAGCAACCCUUCCAUUGCCUGUAGAAAGGUUUUCAGGAAAAAGAUUUGCUGGCAUAGAAAAGGCUGUUGGAGCAGGGCAGCUCUAGGGGCUCCUGGGACCUCCCUUCCCACAGGUGUCAGGGAAGCAACCUCAGGCCACUUCUGCUGCGCCAUGUCUGCAGUCCCACACCCAGCCUACUGUGCGCAGCAUGUGGGGUGCUCUUUAAAGUACAUGAUGUCCUGUGUAAGUUAAAAACUCAUGUUCCAGAAACAGCAUCCUGGAAAGUCAGGACUGAGGCCUUGGAGAGUAAAUAGACCAGCAGCUCCCAAGUCUGGCACACAUGAGAGUCAUCAGCAGCUCUGACAGGUGCAGACUCCCAGGUCACCCCCGAGGGCGUCUGAUUCGGCAUGUGUGGGGUGGCGCCUGGGUAUAUGUAUUGUGAAAACAUGUCCAAGCUCAGGACCCUUAAUUUCCAAGCGAAUUGUGUUCUCUGGAGUCUUGGGAAUGGCAGAGGGACCCGGGGCUCCUGCAUGGUGAGGGGAGCUGAGCACGUGGGACCCCAGGCUCCUCACCUCUUGAACUGGAGCAUCCCACUCUCAUCCAUUCCAUAAACUGCAUCUUUGAUCGAUUGUAAGACACACCACAGUUUUAUGUACCACGCAGAAAGACACCGCCAGGUGCCAUGGAUUAUAAGAUGCAUAUCAGUCUCAUAGGCAGCAAAGGUGAAAUGUGUGUUCUAGAAUCCACAAAAUAGUGUAUGCGGUCCCUUCCUUCAGUGAUGUCCCACAGCUCUUAGAGUAAGCCUCACCUCCUCCACAUGACCCCAAGGCCCUGUGUGUCCAGCCCUUGCCUACCUCUCCAGCCACCUCCCCAAACCAUUCUCGCCUCCUCUGCGCUCCCGCCCUCUGGCUGCCUUCUUUCAGACCCCAGCAUCCUCCUCGUUUCCUCCCCAGACAGGAACUUUGCACAGGCCAUACAUUCUUCCCUUUCCUUCUUAACCUACUCUCUUUGAGAGCACAACUCAACUGCCGCUUCCUUGGGAAGGCCUUCCCUCAUCCUCUUUGCUAGAUCACACCACCACCACCAUUAUUCUGUCUUGUGGCCCCUCCGCAGCGCUGGUCCCAGCCACAAUCUCACCUUGCUGUGUGGGAUUAGGUGAUGAAUGCCAGACUUCCCUGAUUGACGGUAAGCCACAUGUAAGUAGAGACUGUCCUGGUUUAACCUGCCAUAGAAUCCCUUGUGCCUACCACUGUGCCUGGCACUCAGUAGGUACACAACAAUCUACACUGGGCUGGUACCCCUCCCCACCAACAUGGGGCUCCAGGUUUCAGUGACCUGAAAGGGCAAAGUUGUAAGGGUCAGUCUGGGAGAGAAGCCUUAUGGGCCCAUGCCAGUCCACAGCUGGGGCAUGAGGGUGGAGAGAUGGCAGCCAGUGCACACGCCUGCACAAUGGUUGCCCCAGCUCCUCCUCCCCAGCUUCCUCACUGGGUCUCAGGCCAGCCUGUUUGCUCAGCUGCCUUAUGGAGUUCAAUUCUGCUUUCCUGCCCCUCUGCACUCCACCUCCACCUGCCAUUCACUGAAGAAACCAAACCAGAGACAGCCAAAGGAGAGGGGAUAAGACCGCCCACCAGUCUGUCCACCAAGCCCGCAGGAGAAACAGGCGCCCAGGCCCCAGCCAAGGAGAGAUGGUCCUGCAAAAAUUCAUCAUCAAGAGUCUGGGGUUUGGAGUCGGGCUGUCUGGGUCUGAGCCACUCCCCAGCAUUGGGCAAAUUCCUUCGAUUUCUCUUAAGACUCAAUUUCUUCCUCUGUAAAAUGGGGAUUGCAAGAGCAGCUUUGCAGGGUGGCUUUGUGAAACACCUAAGGCGUUGAACUUGACUGAGGGCUUCUGCAAUAGCACCCGUGGCCUGGGAAGUGCUUAGCACAUGCUCUGAUGCAGCAUGAGUGCUAUUAUGAUCCCCCUGUGUGGGGAGCCGGAGUCUCGCCCCCAGGGCCUGCUGAGCUGUCAUCGACCUGGCUGCCCGCAUUGAUCUGGCCAGGACCCCCUCGGGAGUCCCAUCUGCAUGGACAGGCCACCCUCUGCCCCUGGGUGGCUGCCCUUUGCCAAGUUCACGGUCUGGAGCAGUCGGCCAGCUGGGCCUCCCACUAAUGAGUGCCUCGUCCUGCCCAGACCAGCUCUCCUUACUCUCCAUCGAUCCUUGACCUUCCUGGGGAAGCUCCCUCCUCCACUUCUGCCUCUACAUGGUUGCUACUGCUGCUCACCCCAGACUCUCGUCGGCUCUGGCAGGACCUCGCUCUGUCCAGGCACCCCUGAGCCUGGGAGCCCCAACCACUCAUCCCCCCGACAUGUGUGCUCAAGGCCAGGGCUGUGGUCUGGGUUCAGAUCUCGACUUGGCGCCUGGUUAAACCAAUGCUAGGACCAAGAGAUUCGAUAGCAAGUUAUGAACUGAACAUUUGUGACCCCCAAAUUCACAUGCCAUCACCCCCACUAUGGCUAUAUUUGGAGAUGGGGCCCCUAAGGGAGUAAUUAAGGUUAAAUGAGGUCCUGAGGGUGGGGCCCUGUGGACCCAAGGCGGGUACUAUUGUCCUCAUAAGAAGAGACACCAGAGAACUCAUUCCCUCUCUCCACGCACACACAAAGCGAGAUGGCAACAGCCCACGGCCAAGAGAAGGGUGAAACCUCUCUGGUAAUAAAGCUUACCUUGCUGGCACCUUGAUCUUGGACCUUCCAACCUCCAGAACUGUGAG